AUGGUGGGAGCAGAUAGGAGCGACUGUUUUAGGCACUUCUGUGAAAGAAUAAAAGAAAGGUUGAAAGGAUGGAUGGAGAAGCAACUAUCUAUUGGGGGUAAUGAAAUACUUAUUAAAUCUGUAGCUCAAGCAAUCCCUGUUUUUGCCAUGUCAGUAUUCAGCUUACCUAAGGGAAUUUGCAAGGAGAUUACGGAUUUGAUAGCUCAAUUUUGGUGGGGUGAUGAUGAAGAUCACAAAAGAAUGCAUUGGUACACAUGGUGGAAAUUGUGCUAUCCGAAGAGUGAAGGAGGAAUGGGCUUCAGAUCUCUCUAUUCCUUCAAUUUGGCUAUGCUCUCGAAGCAAUGUUGGCGUCUCAAACCAACCCAUUCUUUCAAUUUGGCUAUGCUCUCGAAGCAAUGUUGGCGUCUCAUUACCAACCCAGAGUCGUUAUGUUCUCGGGUGCUGAAAGCAAAGUACUUCCCGAAUGGAAGUCUACUCCAAGCAACUUUAAAAAGUGAAGCUUCCUUCACUUGGCAGAGUAUAAUGAAGGGAUUAGAGACAUUUAAAUUGGGAUAUAUUUGGUGA
rnacentral:rRNA from 1 species